UACGGAGGGUGCGAGCGUUGUCCGGAAUCAUUGGGCGUAAAGGGCGCGUAGGUGGCGGGACAAGCGUGCGGUGAAAGCCUGGGGCUCAACCCCGGGUCGGCCGUGCGAACUGUUCUGCUUGAGCACUGUAGAGGCAGGCGGAAUUCCGGGUGUAGCGGUGGAAUGCGUAGAGAUCCGGAAGAACACCGGUGGCGAAGGCGGCCUGCUGGGCAGUAGCUGACACUGAGGCGCGACAGCGUGGGGAGCAAACAGG
rnacentral:rRNA from 1 species